AAUAUUGCACAAUGGGCGAAAGCCUGAUGCAGCGACGCCGCGUGAGGGAUGAAGGNCUNNGGGUUNUNAACCUCUUUCAGCAGNNNNNAAGCGAAAGUGACGGUACCUGCAGAAGAAGCGCCGGCUAACUACGUGCCAGCAGCCGCGGUAAUACGUAGGGCGCAAGCGUUGUCCGGAAUUAUUUGGCGUAAAGAGCUCGUAGGCGGUUUGUCGCGUCUGGUGUGAAAACCCAAGGCUCAACCUUGGGCUUGCAUCGGGUACGGGCAGACUAGAGUGCGGUAGGGGUGACUGGAAUUCCUGGUGUAGCGGUGGAAUGCGCAGAUAUCAGGAGGAACACCGAUGGCGAAGGCAGGUCACUGGGCCGCAACUGACGCUGAGGCACGAAAGCGUGGGGAGCGAAC
rnacentral:rRNA from 1 species